rnacentral:rRNA from 1 species
AUCUUGCGCAAUGGGCGAAAGCCUGACGCAGCAACGCCGCGUGCGGGAAGAAGGCUCUCGGGUUGUAAACCGCUUUCAGAAGGAACGAAACUGACGGUACUUUCAGAAGAAGGUGCGGCCAACUACGUGCCAGCAGCCGCGGUGACACGUAGGCACCAAGCGUUGUCCGGAUUUAUUGGGCGUAAAGAGCUCGUAGGCGGUUCAGUAAGUCGGAUGUGAAACCUUUGGGCUCAACCCAAAGCCUGCAUCCGAUACUGCUGUGACUUGAGUUCGGUAGGGGAGCGGGGAAUUCCUAGUGUAGCGGUGAAAUGCGCAGAUAUUAGGAGGAACACCGGUGGCGAAGGCGCCGCUCUGGGCCGAUACUGACGCUGAGGAGCGAAAGCGUGGGUAGCAAACAGG